rnacentral:rRNA from 1 species
UACGUAGGGUGCGAGCGUUGUCCGGAAUUAUUGGGCGUAAAGAGCUCGUAGGCGGUGUGUCGCGUCGCCGUGAAAACCUGCAGCUUAACUGUGGGCUUGCGGUCGAUACGGGGCAUCACUUGGAGUUCGGCAGGGGAGACUGGAAUUCCUGGUGUAGCGGUGAAAUGCGUAGAUAUCGGGAGGAAUACCUAUGGCGAAAGCAGGUUUCUGGGCCAUCACUGACGCUGAGCUGCGAAAAGCUAGGGGGAGCAAACAGGG